rnacentral:rRNA from 1 species
UACGAAGGGUGUAAACGUUGCUCGGAAUCAUUGGGCGUAAAGCGCACGUAGGCGGCUUGCCAAGUCGGACGUGAAAUCCCUCAGCUCAACUGAGGACGUGCAUCCGAAACUGGCGAGCUUGAGUACUGAAGAGGAUCGCGGAAUUCCCGGUGUAGAGGUGAAAUUCGUAGAUAUCGGGAGGAACACCGGUGGCGAAGGCGGGUCUCUGGGCAGUAACUGACGCUGAGGAGCGAAAGCGUGGGGAGCGAACAGG